AGCAGUGUCGUGAGCGCUCAGAGCUGCGCGGAAGCAAGGUUGAUGUUUCCCCGGGUCUGUGUGCAGAGUCCGGGCAAAAGCAGAGAUUCAUUGUUGGCAGCUACAACCAGGAUCCGAGACAUCAAAUAUGUCCCUGUUUAGGAUCAAGUCUGUGCAGCCAAAGAGCUGUCAGUGUCCCAAAGCCAGGAGGUCCCUGCAUACGGAGAAGAGUAAGGACACAGCAGGGCUGAAUUCGUGUGUCGCGUUCGUCUGCACCAGGGUAGUCAUGACAACUAAAGGACAUCACAGAAAUCAAGUUCAAGACACGAGCAACAUGCCUCGUCCCCAAGUCCUGCUCCAGCCCUCACUCUGAUUCGUCCUGCUACUACUGUCCGUGUGCAGUAUUGCUUCCUCUGAGAUGCCCUGGUUAGUUUUGGUAUUUCAGGCCUUUCAAAAUGAUGUCCCUGGAGGGGAUGAUAUCGCUCUUUGGACUCAGCCAGCCUAAGCUUCCUGCUCUUGCCUCCAAGGUUUCUGGGAUGUUUGCUGGGACUGGAGGUAGCCCUUCUCUAAGGAAGCUCUCCUUUCAGCAUAUGUACACUGUGCUCGUCACAGCGGGGGACGUGAAGGGGGUCAGCAGCAGACGGGUGAUAGGGGCUUUCUGUGUGCCCAGCACUGUGCUGCACACGUGGUAGAGAUGGUCUCAUCUACUGGGAGGUGAGCCUGUUAUUUCCAUUUGAUAAAGAACACGAGGCUUAGGGUAGCUGAGGGAUUUCUGAGGUCACCCAGCAACUAGGUAGGUAGGUAGGGCCCCAGCAUAGAGUCUACCCCACCCCACCACCUUCUGCACACAGCAGCAAGUGCCAGGGAGAGCAGUGUGCAGUGGGGACAACACCAGGAGCAGAGCAGGGAGGAGCUGCCACCAGCCAGGCAGGACACUAAGGCCUUGGGCACCACAGGUCAGUGCUUUAUAACCGGCAGUGAUUCGGGUCCCCUUCCCCCUGGGGGUCAUCAACAUUGAUGUCUGAAGGCUUUUGUUUUUGUUCUUCCUGAACUCCUGAUCGCAAACCAUCCUCCUGCAUCAGCCUCUGAACUAUCUGGGACUGCAGGCAAGUGCACUGUUCUCUGCGUGGAGGGAUCUUGGCGAGGAGGGGGAAUGGCAUGUGGUGGUGGAGACCAGGGAUGUGCUAAGCAUCCUAAAUGCACAGGACAGCCGCACAGGGCCUUUAUUGUCAAGGGCACUGACGAUAUGACGAAGCCUGCCAUUGGUAAAUGGACGGGAGGAUGGAAAGCAAGCUGGUCCAGAGUUCUGUCUCCACUGGUAGCUUCCCCUCGCACCUCCAGGCUUCAAGGCUCGGGGUUCAGACCGCAGGCACAGAUUGACAUGGCAAAAGUGGUCUUGGCCAGUAGUGGAAGACAACUGGGCUGGGCAAGGCUGUGUGGCACGGAGAAAGCUCUGCCUAAGGGCUAGAAUAAUUCUGGUCUGUGACUUCACACUGGGAAUGGGCAAGGAGGAACUUUUUUCAUGCAGCCCCAGGACCCUGGCUUUGUGGAAUCCAUACCCAUUGCACCCUGGCUAGGCAGUCCCACCCUGAACUCCUGCUGGGUUCUUCCAUGCUGGUCCUGGGGCAGGGGCUCACCUGGAGU